UCACUUCUAAUGCUACAUAAUAAAACAGAACGCCAAUCAAGUGAUAUAAUAUCGAUAGGCAUUUGGUUAAUCUUUUUUGGUUGACUAAUGUACCAUGAUUGAUUAUUUUCUAGGCAGUAGAUUCUGGUGGAAAUGCAGGAAAGGCAGGACUUAGGGCUGGAGACCAAGUAUUGUACACAAGCAGCUUCUUUGGGGAUGAGCUGUGGCCUGCUGAUAAGCUAGGUUUUACCAAAACAGCUAUCCAAGCAAAGCCAGACUCUGUUUAUUUUGUAGUAAACAGGGGAGCAGAGGUAGAUGUAAAAAGACUAACUAAGAGGCCUGCUCCUCCUCGAUUUGGUCGCACCUUGACUGAAGCACAAAA